UGCAGUGAAUUAGUAAUGCGGUGCGUUUUGGCAGUUGUUGCCAUUUCCUUCAUUUUCAUUCGUGCAAGAGAGAGCUCAAUCAGAUUGGGGUUUUCUCCAAUUUUCCCAACCCUCGAGCUAGGGUUCGUCAAGCGUAGAGAGAAGAGGUACUGUGACGAAGCAGCAACGCGAGCUCCAUGGGCCAUUUUUGAAGAAGCCCAGAAUGAUGAUGACCGAAGGAAGAAGCCCAUAAUGAUGAUCGGACCAGAAUGUUGAUCGGACCGAUAGCUGGUUGACGGUUGAAGAGAAGAAAGGUUCGAGUCAGUUAAAGAUUAAUUCGAGACUCUUCCAAGAUGUAACUGAUUCUUCCCCCUUUCCCCCUUUUUUUCUUUCUUUCGUUUUUCUACCUUUGAACUUUUCCUAUAAAAGGAAGUCUUUGUAAUGAAUAAUGGGUGUGCACUGGGUGACAGACGGUGUACUUAGCUUAGGUUUUUCGCUUUCUCAUGCUCUAGUUUAGAUUUCAAAGCUUUCGUUGGGUAGAUACACUGUUUUCUUCGUUACUGGAUUUUGUGGAGGGUUCUCGCGUGGGUGACAGGCCGUGAGGUUCCCUUUGUGAUUUUCGGUACAAUUUUUGUAUUCCAAUUCUCCAAUCUUCAAAUACAAUUCAGUUCUUUUAUGUUCUUUGCACA
rnacentral:lncRNA from 1 species